GUAUAAGAGACAGCAGCAGCCACGGUAAUACAGAGGGUGCGAGCGUUAAUCGGAUUUACUGGGCGUAAAGCGUGCGUAGGCGGCUUCUUAAGUCGGAUGUGAAAUCCCUGAGCUUAACUUAGGAAUUGCAUUCGAUACUGGGAAGCUAGAGUAUGGGAGAGGAUGGUAGAAUUCCAGGUGUAGCGGUGAAAUGCGUAGAGAUCUGGAGGAAUACCGAUGGCGAAGGCAGCCAUCUGGCCUAAUACUGACGCUGAGGUACGAAAGCAUGGGGAGCAAACAGGAUUAGAUACCCCGGUAGUCCCUGUCUCUUAUAC
rnacentral:rRNA from 1 species